rnacentral:misc_RNA from 1 species
AAGUCGUAACAAGGUUUCCGUAGGUGAACCUGCGGAAGGAUCAUUAAUGAGUUAGGGUCUUCCAGGCCCGAUCUCCAACCCUUUGUAUAACUACCAUGUUGCUUUGGCGGGCCCGUCCUUAACUGGACCGCUGGGGGUUUAAAUCUCUAGCCAGUGCUCGUCAGUAGCCCACUACAAAUUCUUUUUAACCAUGUUAAAUCUGAAAAUAGUUAAAUAAACUAAAACUUUCAACAACGGAUCUCUUGGUUCUG